GACGAACGCUGGCGGCGUGCUUAACACAUGCAAGUCGAACGGAAAGGCCCUGCUUUUGUGGGGUGCUCGAGUGGCGAACGGGUGAGUAACACGUGAGUAACCUGCCCUUGACUUUGGGAUAACUUCAGGAAACUGGGGCUAAUACCGGAUAGGAGCUCCUGCUGCAUGGUGGGGGUUGGAAAGUUUCGGCGGUUGGGGAUGGACUCGCGGCUUAUCAGCUUGUUGGUGGGGUAGUGGCUUACCAAGGCUUUGACGGGUAGCCGGCCUGAGAGGGUGACCGGCCACAUUGGGACUGAGAUACGGCCCAGACUCCUACGGGAGGCAGCAGUGGGGAAUAUUGCACAAUGGGCGGAAGCCUGAGGCAGCAACGCCGCGUGCGGGACGACGGCCUUCGGGUUGUAAACCGCUUUCGCCUGUGACGAAGCGUGAGUGACGGUAAUGGGUAAAGAAGCACCGGCUAACUACGUG
rnacentral:rRNA from 1 species